rnacentral:rRNA from 1 species
UACGGAGGGUGCGAGCGUUGUCCGGAAUCACUGGGCGUAAAGGGCGCGUAGGCGGCCCGGCAAGUCUGUGGUGAAAGCUCAGGGCUCAACUCUGAGUCGGCCACGGAUACUGCGGGGCUCGAGCACGGUAGAGGCAGGUGGAAUUCCGGGUGUAGCGGUGGAAUGCGUAGAGAUCCGGAAGAACACCGGUGGCGAAGGCGGUUAGCUGGGCAGUUGCUGACACUGAGGCGCGACAGCGUGGGGAGCAAACAGG